rnacentral:rRNA from 1 species
AUACGUAGGUGACAAGCGUUAUCCGGAUUUACUGGGCGUAAAGGGCGUGUAGGCGGUCUUGCAAGUCAGAAGUGAAAUUCCUGAGCUCAACUCGGGCGCUGCUUCUGAAACUGCAGGACUUGAGUGCUGGAGGGGAUAGCGGAAUUCCUAGUGGAGCGGUAAAAUGCGCAGAUAUUAGGAAGAACACCGGUGGCGAAGGCGGUUAUUUGGACAGUAACUGGCGCUGAGGCGCGAAAGCGGGGGGAGGCAACAGGAUUAGAUACCCUGGUAGUCCACGGCGUAAACGAUGAAUACUAGGUGUAGGGGGUAUCGACUCCCUCUGUGCCGCAGUUAACACAAUAAGUAUUCCGCCUGGGGAGUACGGCCGCAAGGUUGAAACUCAAAGGAAUUGGCGGGG